rnacentral:rRNA from 1 species
GACAGAGGAUGCAAGCGGUUAUCCGGAAUGAUUGGGCGUAAAGCGUCUGUAGGUGGGCUUUUUAAGUCCGCCGUCAAAUUCCCAGGGCUCAACCCUGGACAGGCGGUGGAAACCUACCAAGCUGGAGUACGGUAGGGGCAGAGGGAAUUUCCGGUGGAGCGGUGAAAUGCGGUAGAGAUCGGAAAGAACACCAACGGCGAAAGCACUCUGCUGGGCCGACACUGACACUGGAGAGACGAAAGCUAGGGAGC